AGCUUUCUUGAUGGAGGGGAGCGGCAGACGGGUGAGUAACGCGUGGGAAUCUACCUAGCUCUACGGAAUAACCCAGGGAAACUUGGACUAAUACCGUAUACGUCCGAGAGGAGAAAGAUUUAUCGGAGUUAGAUGAGCCCGCGUUGGAUUAGCUAGUUGGUGGGGUAAAGGCCUACCAAGGCGACGAUCCAUAGCUGGUCUGAGAGGAUGAUCAGCCACACUGGGACUGAGACACGGCCCAGACUCCUACGGGAGGCAGCAGUGGGGAAUAUUGGACAAUGGGCGCAAGCCUGAUCCAGCCAUGCCGCGUGAGUGAUGACGGCCUUAGGGUUGUAAAGCUCUUUCAACGGUGAAGAUAAUGACGGUAACCGUAGAAGAAGCCCCGGCUAACUUCGUGCCAGCAGCCGCGGUAAUACGAAGGGGGCUAGCGUUGUUCGGAAUUACUGGGCGUAAAGCGCACGUAGGCGGAUACUUAAGUCAGGGGUGAAAUCCCGGGGCUCAACCCCGGAACUGCCUUUGAUACUGGGUAUCUAGAGUAUGGUAGAGGUGAGUGGAAUUCCGAGUGUAGAGGUGAAAUUCGUAGAUAUUCGGAGGAACACCAGUGGCGAAGGCGGCUCACUGGACCAUUACUGACGCU
rnacentral:rRNA from 1 species